UCUAAUAUGGCAGAAUAGUGCGAUAGAUUUAAGCUCUGUAUACAAAGAAUUACUUUUAUUAGAA
rnacentral:tRNA from 1 species